rnacentral:lncRNA from 10 species
UGCCUGUAAGCUCUAUUGGGUAGUAUAGUGCAGCUUUGUGAACACCAGAUCUGGCAGAUUUAAGCUGAGGCCUGUAAGUUCAUUUGCCAUUUUCUUCCACCACAAGUGGCCCCUGCUGGGCUGAUCUGUUCUUCCACUUGUUCCUCUGGCACCUGCCCAUGUGGAGGGGAUUCUUCAAUAGGGCACAUCUGUUGUAGCCUCACAGAUUCUUCUGCUGUUGGAGAGCCCUGUGUGUGGAAGAGUCCCUUUGUGUGAAAAUCAUCCAGCCUCAACCACACAGUUCAGCAAUUUUGCUGAAAGGAACAGUCUUGGCUGCACUUGGUAGGAGCCUCUCUUCUGUCUGGCACAGGCCAAGACUCUGCAGGUGAUGAAGGAAGAGGAGGUGGCAGCGCAUAGGAGUGCAUUAAUAUCAGUUCACCUUGUCAGUAUAGCUACAGUGGCUAGACCAUGAGCUCUGGAGUUGGACAGCCUAGAUCAACAUCCUGGAUCCUCUUCCUACCUGUGUGUCCUUGGAAACAUUUCUCAAGUGUCUACAUGUUCUAGAAGGGGAAUUUUUCGGAGGUGGCCACUUCUUCGGAAUAGUCCGAUGCCAUCAGGCGUCUGAAGCAAGGGGAAGGGGAAAAGAAAAAAGCUGAAACACAAGGUUCAUCUGCCAACAGCACACCAGACAGCUCAGAGCCAGCCAUGA